GAUGAACGCUAGCUACAGGCUUAACACAUGCAAGUCGAGGGGCAGCAUGAAAGGAACUUCGGUUCUUUUUGAUGGCGACCGGCGCACGGGUGCGUAACGCGUAGGUAACCUGCCUCAUACAGGGGGAUAACAGUUAGAAAUGACUGCUAAUACCGCAUAAGACCACAGCACCGCAUGGUGCAGGGGUAAAAACUCCGGUGGUAUGAGAUGGACCCGCGUCUGACUAGCUAGUUGGUAAGGUAACGGCUUACCAAGGCGACGAUCAGUAGCCGACCUGAGAGGGUGACCGGCCACAUUGGGACUGAGACACGGCCCAA
rnacentral:rRNA from 1 species